AGCCCAACAGCUAGCUCACCUCACAAAAACCAACAACCAACUAUACCUAACCCCUAAUACCCUAAAACCACGAAAACAAAUCAUUUUUCCCCCUAAGUAUGGGAGACAGAAAAGGACCCCAGAAGCUAUAGAAAAAGUACCGCAAGGGAAAGCUGAAAGAGAAAUGAAACAAAUCAGUAAAGCACAAAAAAGCAGAGUUAAACCCUCGUACCUUUUGCAUUAUGACUUAGUUAGAAAAUCUCGAGCAAAAAGAAUUUUAGUUCGACACCCCGAAACCAAGUGAGCUACUCCAAGACAGCCUAUAAGGGCCAACCCGUCUCUGUGGCAAAAGAGUGGGAAGAGCUUUGAGUAGAGGUGACAGACCUACCGAACUUGGUUAUAGCUGGUUGCCUAGAAAAUGAAUAAAAGUUCAGCCUUUUACCUUCUUCCUCCACAACCGGUUACACACCAAGAACCAAAGAAGAUAAAAGAGUUAGUCAAAGGGGGUACAGCCCCUUUGAAAAAGAUACAACUUUCCCAGAAGGGUUAAGAUCAUAACAUUACAGGAAACGUGUUUUAGUUGGCCUAAAAGCAGCCACCCAUAUAGAAAGCGUUAUAGCUCAGACACAUUACACCCCUAUUAUUUAGACCACCUCAUCUUACCCCCCUACACAUACUAGGCCCCCUUAUACCGCUAUAAGAGCGACUAUGCUAACAUGAGUAAUAAGAGAUCAAACAUCUCUCCACGCACACGUGUACAUCGGAACGAACCAAUCACCGACAAUUAACGACCCCAAAAAAGAGGAGACUGAAAAAAUAUGGUUAAACCACUAGAAAAAUAUUCAAAGUAUCCAACCGUUAAUCUUACACCAGAGUGCCCACAAGGAAAGACUAAAAGAAAAAGAAGGAACUCGGCA
rnacentral:rRNA from 1 species